UUAAACAAGCAUUCACUGUAUGCAUGUAUGUAUGAAUAAAUAAAUACGACUAACUUUGGGGGUUCAACCCAACACUGAUCUAAAGUCCUGGAAGACAACAACAUGAGAGAUGGGGUGAUGGUCCAAGGGAGGCAUUUGGAGGGCCUUCGUCAUCUGGGAGGAGGGUAGGGACGCUGAUGAACUUUAGAUUUCCUAAGACCUGCACGGGUGUGAAGAAAACUAAUGGUAAACAAGAACGUUCGACGGAAACAUGCAACUCUGGAAGAAGUGGAAGGAAGGGGGAGAGAAACUCUGCCUCAUCUAAUGCAAGGCAGAAAACAGGAACCAAAGCAGCCAAGAAGCAACAUGGGAACAAGAAAUCACUAGCGUGGAUGUGCACACCGAGGCGUGUGAACCCGUUACAAGGGACUUCUCGCAUUUAAUUUAGAAAUGCAGCUACCUGCUAUUUGCAAGAUACCCAUCUAAAUCAUCAUGACAAAGAAAACUUAAAUGAAACCAGACACGAGGCAAAUACGAAUCACAAGAAGGUUGGCAAAAGACGCUGCCGGGAACGAACUCGUUAGACAUGACUGAGAAAGUCGCGGGGAUUCACUGUGACAUACGACACCAACCGGAAGACCCGAGGCCAGCCUGGUGCAUCUUCAAAGCAGUGUUGCUGAGAGGGCAUCACCCACUUUUUGUCUUGACUCCCAUCCCACAUGGAAGGCGUGAUUUUGUCUCCUAAUGGUGAGCAGAAAGCACCAGACCUAUGGAUCUUUUGGUUUCCCGUUGGAAACCAGAAGGAAAGAGUUCUGUCCCAAACUACCCUCAUUUCCUGGAGGCCUUUCAAGUGUCUGAUGUGAAGAUGAGUUAAAGCACUACGGGGUUUGGAGGGGACAUCUGAGAACAUACCUGCAGACAAGGAACCGGGUGCAGGGGGAUGGUGAAUUGUGCACGAUCACGGAGGUGGUGAGUGGUGAAAGCGAAACCCUCACCCGGGCUUCUGCUCUCCGAUUCGGCACCCAUUCAUCCAGUCUCUGGGAGGAAAAGGAAGCACCGGGUCUCACCAAUAACGAAAGGGCGAGAUAAAUGCAAAUCAAACGCAGAAAAACUCUCCACAGGAAACUGAGGAGUCUCUAAAAAACCAGCCCAUUUAGCCUCUGUGACAAAUAACGGAACUGGGGCAACUGAGCGUCCACACUGCCAGGCAGGGUGCCCUGGGCAAAUUUCUACACCUCUCCAAACACACGCUUCCUUGGUCAUGGAAUGGGGAUCACAGUCGUAUCGCCCUCAUCCAGAUUUUGUGAAGAUCAAAGAGUCAUGAGCCAUGGCAAAGAGCUUUCUUAGCACAGCGCCUGCAGCCUAAGCACUAUUAUGAUUACUACAGGGCUGCUACAAUCGGGGAUAAACCCGUUUCCUUACUGGAAAAGGCCAUAAAAAAAGUCUGCUGGUGCUUUUCUAUGCAUGGGAAAGUAUAUCUAUUGUUUGGGGACGGGGGCACUAAAUGGGUAUUUUUUUAAAAUUCCCAAUAAUAAUAAUAAUAAUAAUAAUAAUGAUAAAAGCAUCCUUUUGCUUUUGUCUUGGUGGAGCAUGCUUCCUUCUGACAUCAACUUUUUCUUCUACUGGGGAGAAAGUCCCAGUCUCAAUUUCACAACUAAAAAAAAAGGGGUUUCUUAGGAAAGUGUCAUAAACACCUCCACCCUAACGGGCUGAGACUAUGAUGGAAACCACGAAGAAGUGACUUACUUCUGUAUUUCAUGACUUUUGUUUUCCUUAGGAAGUCACCUGGACCUGGAUUACAGCUGAGAAGAGGAACUCUUAGUCUGAAAGAGCUCAGACGUCAACGUGUUUUUUCCUCCAUCUGUAAAAUGGGUACAAUGAGGUUCACGCAAUUUGUUCGAGUGGGGAACUGCAAGUUCCCGGUGUUAUGUCCUCGGCUCCUGGGGUGAUACACCUCUGAUCACUGAUCCAAUGGCCCAAAGACAAAUCUCCCUCCCUCUCUCCCUCAUUUCUGUGGCUAUCUCAUUCAGAAACCCAGCUCCUCAAGAAUUUUACAUUCCUGGUUAUUUUUAGACUCAGUUUGUUCAGACACGGUCACCACAUGGCAUGCAGCUGUGGAAAGCAGCUGCUGUGGUUUGAUUUCUAGUCAAUAUUACUUGACAUUUCUUGUCAGGUGAUUUCUAAAAUUUCUUUCUUUCUUUUUUUUUUUUUUCCCGGGGGAUCUCAAGACUUUUCCCCCUGGAUUUUGAGGUGCAACAUCACAGCUGUGCAUCUGAGAGCCUGCUCCAGGCUGGGGAUGGGGCCAGAAUCCUGCUAGAAAGGAAGAUUUCUUUCUAUUCUCAGGACCCAAACUUCUCAGCCCCAGAACACUCAGGUCCUGACAGCUUCCUGAAGACCCUCCUCUCAGUUUUGUGCUUUGAGUGAGGGGCUGCUGUCUCCUGGUCUCAGGAAGAAAGGAGGAAGGGUGAGGCAGGUAGCUGGCCUGCCAGGAGCCUACCUCAGUGACAAUAGCUACCAUGUACCAGAGGCUGGGUCACUCCGCUGAGGGGAAAGCCGGACCGGAUUGGCUGCAGGCUUCCUCCUGCUCCCCCUUAACAGCUUUUCUCCCCGACAGGUGCUUACCUGCCUUUCUCUGGCUCAUUCAGCCAUCAGUCUCUUGGCUCAGCCCAUACACCCAUCCACCGCGAUGCUUUUGCCUUUAGGAGUUUUGCACAUUCUGUUCCCACCUGGAAGACUCUGGGUUCUUUUUCCGGACCAACGCUAUUUCUCAUUUGAUUCUCAACAUCAGCAUCCCUUGGGGAGCCUCUCCCGAUCCUCUAAGACAGGGUUAACUCUCUCUUUGAGGCACUUAACACCUCGGACUGUAAUAUUUUUCUUACAAACAGGCCUGUUUAUUCCUCCAGUCUCCCCACUAGACUCUAAACUCCUGGGUGGGCUCAGGUCUUGUCCACAGUUGCACCCCCACUUCCCAGCCCAGCGUCCGGCCUGGCAUACAGCAGGUGCCUGGCAAAUAUGUGCUGAAUAAUGUGCCAGGCUCACCAAGAACUCCCUCCUCCUUUUCUCCCCCCCCGAUGUAUUUUUUAGACUGUGUCGAAUUCUUUGUUCUUCAAAUCACUUCUGUAAUAAGCUUUCUAUUUUAUCACGGCAUCUAUUUAAGUCAAGUCCUUUGUCAGUUCUGAGUUUGACAAAAAUCUUCAAUUGUGCAGGUACGGACAAAAACGUGACGCCGUGUCUGACACAUAAACGAGAAGUGAAAAUCGUGGCUGGAUAACCUGAAAACAGCUAGCGACAUCUGUAUCCUGGCCAUCCUUCCUCAUGAAGCCUUCUUUUUUGUGGGCUGGUAAGUUUUGACCCUUGUUUUUAAGGUGCGGUUAUUCUCGACAAGGAGACAGCAUAGGUUUCCAACUAGGAGACAGUUCUCUCAAGAGAGUCCUUCUUACAGUGGAGGAAGUUUUCAGUUACAUACGGUCUCCACUCGCGUCCCUUCUCCCCACCCAACCGUGUGCUUUAGGCAGACAGGAACGAACGCACGAGCCACGGUUAUCGGCGGUUACCUUCAGCAGCACUGCCAGCUUCUCCACAACUACUUUGUGCGAGAUGACGUUCCCCAGCCCUCACUGCCGCGAGGCGUGUGGAGGUGGGAGCGCACACAGCGUGUACCACAGCGGCACAGCCCUCUUCUAACCGCAGCUCAGCAAAUUCAACGCUGGGCCGCAACAACGGCCAGAGGGACGGGGUCCCCGCACACACAGGGCUUCGGAGUGGCCCCAACGGCAUCUGAAGCCGGGCCUGGUGCUACCAAAGCAGCCCCGGGUCCUGGCAAGAGGACCGGAAGGGAGAGGACGUGCGGACGUCCGAGGGCCGUGCGCAAGGAGGCAAACGUCACGGAGUGUCCAGCCUGCUGGGGACACUGCCGGGCACCAUGGACUAUAAGCCGAGGGUCCGCCUUCUGUCCUCGGUGACUUUACGGUCUAGAAAUAUUGACAGGAAGGCAGAGGCAAGACAUUUUGCACAGCAGUCGAGGCUAAGCAGAUGCGAAACAACCUGAUUCUUGUGGCAACAGCACUGGCCUGGGCGGGAUCUACCCCGCUUAAGGCUUAUACCUCUCCUGCCCCGGCCCCGGCCGAUGUUUGUGGGGAAGAAGGGCUCGCCUGACUGGAGGAGAAGCAGGAUACCAAGGACCCUGUUGCUACCGCAGGUGGCAGAGAGUGUCUGGGUGACAUGUGCUAAGAAGCUGGUCCCCUCAGAUUAAGGAAGUCAAAAGGGAGAGGAGCUGGCCCGUAUAAAAAACUUGGGGACACGUGUCUGGAAAUGAUGGGGAUGGGUGGUAUGGCAGGCUGAGUAGCGGCCCCGCAAAAGGUAUCCACAUCCGAUUCCCUGGAACCUGAGAAUGUUACCUCACACUGCAAAACAGGACACUGCAGAUGUGAUUACAUAAGGCUCUUGAGAUGGGGAAGUUAUCCAGGAUGAUCCAGGUGUGCCCUAAAUGCCAUUGCAAAUGUCCUUGUAAGAGAAGCAGAGGGAGAUCUGACACGGACAGAAGAGAGAAGGCCACGUGAUUGCGGAGGCAGAGAUGGGAGCGAUGUGGCCACGAGCCAAGGGAUGCCGGCAGCCCCAGCAGCUGGAGGAAGCUUGGAAUGGAUUCUCCCCUAGGGACUCUGGAGGGAGCUCUGUCCUGUGGACACUCUGAUCUGAGGUCAAAAUCAUUUCAGUGAUAACGACUUUCAACUGCUGGCCUUCAGAAAGGUGACAAAACAAUUUCUGUUGUUUACGUCACGAAGUCUGUGGUCACGUCUUAUAGCAGCAAUGAGAAACUUAAGAUACAGUUUAGAUGUGCCACUUGAUGAAGCUUCUGAUUCAGUUCCCACAGGCAUCGUAUGCUGGGACCAGUAAGAGAGAGGGACAAUCAUUUCCUAUUAUCAUAUUCACUAUGUAGAGCCAGCAUCAAAAUUCUGCACACAUUCACACGCACACGCACGCACACACAUGUGCACAUACGCGCAUACCCCUCUCCUGGAUUUGAAUCAGCAACUGCUCUCAUCCAGCUUUGCAGUGUUAGGUCGUUUCUGAGAGGAAUUCAUAGUAAAUUGGAACAGGUCGCUGUGAACUGAGAAAAAGAAUCAUGAAGCAAUCGCGGAGUCAGGGGUGGGGGUGGGGCGGUGCUCCCAGAAGGCAUCAUGGACGCACAGUGGAGACAAGAGUGGGAAGCAGAAGGCAAGGACUCACUUUAGAGGAGCAAGCAGGCUGGACAGAGGGAGCACCGCCGCCCCCCCCCCCCCCCCCCAAGAAAAAGGAAAAGAGAAGGACUUCUUUUGCAGUUCUAAGAAGAUGCUCUGUCAAGGAGAAUAUAGGGAUAAAGGAAUGCCUGAUGAGUUUUCUUUCUAUCUUGAAACUCUUUUGUAGGGAUAAGUGUUAUAACCUUGGGAAUGGGAUUUACUUGAAAAAGAGGAAUAUGGGGACAUUGUGGAGCGCGCUGUGUGAACGUGGCCAGGACAGUGUGGUGGGAGGGGGUGCUGCCUUUUGGUUGGGGGGGCAACUUUGGGCUCCUGCUGCAUUUUAAAGGCGGGAGGUAGGUGCCUUUAGCUUAAGGAAUGAUUUUGGGUUUGGGAUGCUGAGGUGUUUCUGUGGUCCUUGUGAGGGAAGAUACAGAAGGGGCACAGGGGGUGAGAAAUCCCCCGGGUUGAGAGAAGAAUGCCCUGUCUGUAGUUGUGGCACCAUUCCAAGAGGCUCUCCAGAGACAAGGCUCCUGACUAUAGAACAGGUCCUAUGCCAUCUUCUGUCACAUCAGCAAGCUUGGGGAACCAAGCAGCCUUCUCACUGCACGCUGGCUCCACAAUGUCAAGAGCUCUCCGAUGUACCUACAUUUCAACAAUAGCGUCUGGAGUCCCUAAUUCAUUACUGGUCAGCAUCACCUAGUGAACAUUCACAGUAUCCACAGCACUGGAGGUUCGUGAGGGUUUGCAGGAAAAGUGGAUGGCACAGGUCUCUGUUCUCCGGGAAGAAACAGACAAAUACAAGUAAAUCCAAACCCAAAUGAAAACACAGGUGACAGGUGUCUCAGGUGCUGACACCAAGAGGAAGUAGCAAAGAACCCAGAGGAUCUGUAUUCACCGCGCCCCCAUUUAUACUGUAUCUGUGGUCUUGAAGAGUCACAGAACUGCUUUAAGUCUUUCUAGCCAUCUGUAAAAUGGGUUUACUAGAAUAACAAAUGGCUCAGGUUGUUAAAAGAGCUAAAUGAGAUAAUGAAUACAAAAGCCGUCUAUUUAUUUGAUUUUAUUUUUUCAUAAUCUCUACGCCCAACGUGGGGCUUGAACUCACAACCUCGAGAUCGAGAGUCACACGAUCCACUGAGCCAGGGGGUGCCCCUGAAAGCACUUUUAAAACAUUAACUGUGGUCUUAACAUAUGUUACAAUGUAUAGCAUAAGGAAAUAUUAAGAAACUUACACUGAGGAGGGUAGAAAAAUGAUAGAUGGUUAGUGUAGUUCCAAGAAUAUCAUAAUUUCCUUGUGACUCAUCAGGACACUCUGGGACAAUAAUUAGAGCUAUCGUUCAAGAGAAAAGAACAUCUUGAUAUUGAGCAUAGUCCACACGGGGGUUGGUCUGCCCCCUUCUUUCGGUGCUGUCUUCUUUCCCUUUGGAGAACUGAUGCACCCCUACUCCAACCAUGGGCGCAGCCGCCCGUCACAGCGCCUCGCUCCCUGGCCUCAGGGCACGUGAUCUGGACCCUACUCCCUGGCCUCAGUGCUGGAGCCAGGGUGGAGGGCACGUGAUCCAAUGUGGGCCACUCACAGAUUUUCUUUGGAGGAUUCAUAUAUUUGAAUGAGGCAAGCUUUCCCCUUUCCUUUAGGUUGCUAUGCUGGCAUAAUGCAAGCCUGGAGUGGCCUGUGGCCGACAGUUCCCCUGUGUAGAAGCAGCCUGUGGUAGGACAGAAUGAGGCCAACACACAGAGACUGGGGAGUCAGGUUAGGGGAAGAAAAAGGAUCUUGACAGCAAGCAAGUCCUUAGUUCUAGUGCUUAAACCCCCAGGGUCCUUCACCUCCCAGUUCCUUCCAGGAUAUUCAAUUUCGGGUUUCAACUGGUCACGUCAUCUGAAAGAGUUCUGAUUUAUAUAGUGGGCUUACUUGGCGAUACUACAUAAACCCCGAUGAAGGGCAAGUAAGAAUGUUGUUGGAAAAAGAUUCUACAAAGGUCAUUUUUUUCCCGGAAAAAAAAGGGGGGGGGGGAUCAGCUCAGCAUUUAGAGAUAUUAAUCCUCAAUUUUCUAAACCUGGCUCAGCACUAACAUCCUUGGGUAUUAAUCAAACAAAAAGGCCAUGUGCAUGCAUUAUGAUGCAUGCCAGCAGAAGCAUUCAGUGAGGGUUUGACCAGAUUAUUUUAAUACCUGACAAGCACGAUCAGCACAGGGGAGUGAAUUCAAAAUAUACACAGACGGUAACGCUGAAACGUGCAAGAGAGUGACUGGGACAACGCUUAAGCUUCUGGAGUAUUAAGCACCAGAUAUUAUAUUUCUUCUGGUUUGCUUACCGAACAGGGAAAAUUCGUGUCUCUACAGUAGGAUCAGGAACCACAAAACGGUACUUAGAGGUGACUGCACUUGAAGCUUAUACUUGCUGUCCGUGGUUACCUCGCUGCCCGGCUGCAGACUGCCAUUAGCAAAGAGCCCAACUGGUGUGGAGUGGGAUCCAAUCCGUUGUGCUCCUCUAGGAGGAGAACAUUCUGGAGGUCCCGCACUGCACCAUCCCUGCCUUCAAUAUGGCCACUGAGAACCGCACGGACAACUUCCAGUCUAAGUGCUGAGAAGGCAGCUGUCUGGAGCAAGUAUCAGAGACAAAUGUGAAUGGUUUUCUGACCUCCAUCUCUCUUUUAUUGAUCAACCAGGUACAUUCUGCCUUCUCCUGAGCUACUACGAAGUUUCUAUUUGCUGUUAAUUGUGACCACGAAGUGACAGGAAUUUAGGAAUUAAGAGAUUGCUCACAGCAAAUGAAAGAGUGUAGAGCCAACAUCUUAUGAUGACCCAUGGCCUUA